rnacentral:rRNA from 1 species
UACGUAGGGUGCAAGCGUUAAUCGGAAUUACUGGGCGUAAAGCGUGCGCAGGCGGCUUUGCAAGACAGAUGUGAAAUCCCCGGGCUCAACCUGGGAACUGCAUUUGUGACUGCAUGGCUAGAGUACGGUAGAGGGGGAUGGAAUUCCACGUGUAGCAGUGAAAUGCGUAGAGAUGUGGAGGAACACCGAUGGCGAAGGCAGCCCCCUGGGUCAAAACUGACGCUCAUGCACGAAAGCGUGGGGAGCAAACAGG